rnacentral:rRNA from 1 species
GUGGCGAACGGGUGAGUAACACGUGAGCAAUCUGCCCUUGACUCUGGGAUAACUGCGGGAAACUGUAGCUAAUACCGGAUACUUUCCUCGCUGGGCAUCCAGCGGGGAAGAAAGAAUUUCGGUCAAGGAUGAGCUCGCGGCCUAUCAGCUAGUUGGUGAGGUAAUGGCUCACCAAGGCGACGACGGGUAGCCGGCCUGAGAGGGUGACCGGCCACACUGGAACUGAGACACGGUCCAGACUCCUACGGGAGGCAGCAGUGGGGAAUAUUGCACAAUGGGCGAAAGCCUGAUGCAGCAACGCCGCGUGAGGGAUGAAGGCCUUCGGGUUGUAAACCUCUUUUAGCAGGGAAGAAGCGAAAGUGACGGUACCUGCAGAAAAAGCACCGGCUAACUACGUGCCAGCAGCCGCGGUAAUACGUAGGGUGCAAGCGUUGUCCGGAAUUAUUGGGCGUAAAGAGCUCGUAGGCGGUUUGUCACGUCUGCUGUGAAAAUCCGAGGCUCAACCUCGGACUUGCAGUGGGUACGGGCAGGCUAGAGUGCGGUAGGGGAGAAGGGAAUUCCUGGUGUAGCGGUGGAAUGCGCAGAUAUCAGGAGGAACACCAAUGGCGAAGGCACUUCUCUGGGCCGUAACUGACACUGAGGAGCGAAAGCGUGGGGAGCGAACAGGAUUAGAUACCCUGGUAGUCCAC